rnacentral:rRNA from 1 species
UGUUUUUUAAGAAAAUUUUAAAAAGUUGUUCGUUGGUGACCAGCGGAGGGAUCAUUACAGGGUCUAACGACUGCCCAAAACCAACCGUGCUCCUUUCCAUUUUUCUCUUGCUUCGGUGAUCGCCUGCUGGGGAGGCCACCGGCCGGGCGUCAUGCCUGGUGGUUGCCGAAGCAUACCACUAUAAAACUUUACUUUUGCCAACGUAUCUUCUGAAGAACUUUCUACAAAAGAACAAUCACAACUCACAACAAUGGAUCUCUUGGUCUCUGGCAUCGAUGAAGAACGCAGCGAAAUGCGAUAAAUAAUAUGAAUUGCAGAAUUCAGCGAAUCAUCGAGUUUUUUGAACGCCACAUUGCGCCCUCUGGUAUUCCCGGAGGGCACGUUCCGACCGAGCGUCGCGUCACCGCUCAGGCUCUGCCUGGUGAUGGGGCAUGCGGGCAACCGCAGCUCCCAAAUGCAGUGGCGGUUCCCAUCGGGUUCCCUUGCGCAGUAGAAGCAACUCGCUGUCGCCUCGGAGUCCCGCGUGGGCGGCCUGCCGUAAAACACCCAACGUUUUCCACUGGUUGACCUCGGGUCGGACGAGAUUACCCGCUGAACUUAAGCAUAUCAAUAAGCGGAGGAAAAGAAACCAACAGGGAUUGCCUCAGUAACGGCGAGUGAAGCGGCAACAGCCCAGAUUUGAAAUCUGGCCUUCGGGCCCGAGUUGUAAUCUGCAGAUGAGUCUUCCGGCAAAGCGCCGUCCAAGUGCCCUGGAACGGGCCGCCGGAGAGGGUGAGAGCCCCGUACCGACGUGCGCCGCGCCUCUAUGAAGCUCAUUCGAAGAGUCGAGUAGUUUGGAAAUGCUGCUCUAAUUGUGGGGGUAAAUCUCCCAUAAGGCUAAAAUAUCGGCCAGAGACCGAUAGCGCACAAGUAGCGUGAGCGAAAGAUGAAAAGAGCCUUGAACAAGGGCGUCAAAAAGCAUGUGAAAUUGUUGUGGGGGGAAGCGUUCGAUGCCAGACAUGGCGGCGGUUGGUUAUCCCGGCGUUCUUCGCCGGCGCACUUCUGCCGGUCGCCAGGGCCAGCAUCAGUUCGGAUCCGAUGCGCCCAGCUGCCACGCGGGAAACGUGGGCUCCUUACAGGAGGUGUUAUAGCCCGUUGGUAACCGUACUCGGACCGGAUCUGAGGAUCCGCGCUUCGUUUCGAUAACGGAAGCCUGGCCUAAGACCUUUUUAAACGGAAAAAA